CAUGAAGUCCAACCCAUGUGAACUUCCUGUUGUUUUUAUGCUGGAGCAGGCUGAGGAAGUGGGCCAGAGUGGGUCCCUGACUAGGUACAAGAGGCUUGAGCCUUGGCCAGGGAAGAAGUGUAACAGAACAGAUUAUGCAGAAGCAAUGUCAUUGCAGAGAAUUGUUGUAUCAGCACUGAAAUUAGACCCGGAAUUCUGGACUAAGAAUCACGAGAGGCGAAGACAGUGCUGUGAUCUUAGAGGCAUAAAGAAAAGCAAUAUGCAGAUUAGGAUUAGAAAAUGCA
rnacentral:misc_RNA from 1 species